rnacentral:tRNA from 1 species
GGAUUGUGGCUCAGCGGUAGAGUGCUCACCUAGCACAUGCGAGGUGCUGGGUUCUAUCCCGAGCACCA